rnacentral:rRNA from 1 species
UGGGGAAUAUUGGACAAUGGGGGGAACCCAGAUCCAGCCAUGCCGCGUGUGUGAAGAAGGCCUUAUGGUUGUAAAGCACUUUAAGCGAGGAGGAGGGUACUGGUAUUAAUACUACCAGCUACUGGACGUUACUCGCAGAAUAAGCACCGGCUAACUCUGUGCCAGCAGCCGCGGUAAUACAGAGGGUGCGAGCGUUAAUCGGAUUUACUGGGCGUAAAGCGUGCGUAGGCGGCUAAUUGAGUCGGAUGUGAAAUCCCCGAGCUUAACUUGGGAAUUGCAUUCGAUACUGGUUAGCUAGAGUGUGGGAGAGGAUGGUAGAAUUCCAGGUGUAGCGGUGAAAGGCGUGGAGAUCUGGAGGAAUACCGAUGGCGAAGGCAGCCAUCUGGCCUAACACUGACGCUGAGGUACGAAAGCAUGGGGAGCAAACAGG